rnacentral:rRNA from 1 species
UACGUAGGGGGCAAGCGUUGUCCGGAAUCAUUGGGCGUAAAGAGCGCGUAGGCGGCCCGGUAAGUCCGCUGUGAAAGUCAAGGGCUCAACCCUUGAAUGCCGGUGGAUACUGUCGGGCUAGAGUCCGGAAGAGGCGAGUGGAAUUCCUGGUGUAGCGGUGAAAUGCGCAGAUAUCAGGAGGAACACCAAUGGCGAAGGCAGCUCGCUGGGACGGUACUGACGCUGAGGAGCGAAAGCGUGGGGAGCGAACAGG